rnacentral:rRNA from 1 species
AUUGAACGCUGGCGGCAGGCCUAACACAUGCAAGUCGAACGGUAACAGGAAGAAGCUUGCUUCUUUGCUGACGAGUGGCGGACGGGUGAGUCAUGUCUGGGAAACUGCCUGCUGGAGGGGGAUAACUACUGGAAACGGUAGCUACUACCGCAUAACGUCUCAAGACCAAAAAGGGGGACCUUCGGGCCUCUUGCCAUCGGAUGUGCCCAGAUGGGAUUCGCUAGUAGGUGGGGUAACGGCUCACCUAGGCGACGAUCCCUAGCUGGUCUGAGAGGAUGACCAGCCACACUGGAACGGAGACACGGUCCAGACUCCUACGGGAGGCAGCAGUGGGGAAUAUUGCACAAUGGGCGCAAGCCUGAUGCAGCCAUGCCGCGUGUAUGAAGAAGGCCUUCGGGUUGUAAAGUACUUUCAGCGGGGAGGAAGGGAGUAAAGUUAAUACCUUUGCUCAUUGACGUUACCCGCAGAAGAAGCACCGGCUAACUCCGUG